ACUAACUUCUGCAUAAUAAAUGAGAGUGGAUCUUUUAAUUCUGAGAUGGCAAUGUACUUUACAAGGACCAUUUACAGACUACAUCAAACCUUUUUCUAGAUAAAAAACGUACUUCAGUAACUUGCCUGAAUUGAGAGAGCAAAACAGUCCGGAGAGAAAACUUAAAAUGUUUCCACAUUAUCAAGCCCCCUUCAGAAGUACUGUGGUCUCGGCCCCUCCUUUGAACAGAUGUCCGCUCGCCACAGUCCAAUCAGGUUUAAAGCAAGAGUAUUUGUACUGAAAACAAGCUUAAAGUGGGAAGACACACACAAAGCAGGCCUGUAUCAUUCCUUUGGUUUCAGUUUUCACGAUGCACCCUUGAGGCUAGGCACGCUGAUUCAACACACUUGGAGAGCUUCACCGAAACACACUAAACACACAGUGAUGAACUGUGCCCUGGCAGAGAUGACCUGGCAAAAUUCUCAACUUCUUCCCUGAGGCAGUGCACCCGCAGUUCUCGGCGGCGAAGUCUUUGGGGCAGAAGUCCCGAGCCUUCAGAACGGCAGGCUUCUCCCCCUCAGGACUCCAGUCCCCGCGGCCAAGGCUGUCGCUGCGGGGGCCCCGCGCGGGACUGGCCAGGCUCUUCCAUUAACCCUGUCUGGUCCGGCCGAUCCCGCCGCGACCCGAGCGCCUCUCGGCCCCGCAGCACAGGGCGCCCAGGACCCGCCACCCUCGCCGCCCGUUCCCCUCUCCGGAGAGCCCGGCGGGGCCGUCAGGCUGCCGAGACAAAGGGUACCGCGGCGCCAGAGGCCGAGGCCCAGCCGCGCCUGCCUUCCUCUUUCUCCCGCCCACUGCCAACCUCCAGUCGCCCGCAGAACCUCCGCUGCCUCGGCGCGACCCCAUCGCCACCCCGGGGCUGCCGCUCGGGACCGGCAAGCCGGGUAGCCGCGAGGCGGCCGCGGCAUGCUAGGGCCGAGGAGGGGGCGGCGGCCGCCACCAUGUCUGCCCGCCCCUCCCAGAAGCAGUGUGCCCAGCGGACAAAGCGCAGCGGCGGCGCGGGCGCCCAGGCCGACCCCGCCGACCCCCGCGGAAUAAGCGGGGCCAGGAGCCCCGGAAACCCGGCGCCUUAAUGCAAUAAACAGGAAAUCGCGGGGAUGAUCUGGGUUCCGGGGGAAGUGGAAUUAUUUUUUACCAGCGAAGAGAUCAACUUCCACAUCCGGUGGUAACAGGGCCCUACACAGACCCGCACUGACCUGGAAAAGCUUCGGGAGCGGCGACGGGAAGGCAGCAGGAGGUGGUGCGGGGACCCGAGGCGCCUCGUACCCGGCCGGGCUGACGCGGCCCCGCUACACACAAAGCGCUUCAGCUGCACAGGGCGCUAUUUUCCGAAAAUGCCGCGUCUGGUCGGCGCCCAAAAUCCCCACCGAAAAGUCCCCCGUGCUGCGCGCGGAGGGACACAUGGUGUGCGAGGGCGUCUGGGCAUGGCUUUCCCAACCUAGUAACUGCAACUUUUAGCAUCCUACAUGUAGGACUUGGGAAUAUGUGAGACAGCGCCAAGAAUUUAAUCCAGGAGAAUUGACAAGCUUAAAUGAAAUCCAUAUUGCCCACUGAUUUUGUGCAGCUUCAGAUAAGUAAUCUUUCUCCACUUAGCCUUUUGUAACAAUUGAUGUAAUAAAGGUUUGUAGUCUUUGUGUAAUUUAUUAAAGCAUUGUGCCUAAAAUAGAAAAAAAGCAUAGGAACCAUAGGCUGUGUUUUCUUUUGAUUUAAUAUUUUCAUUUCUUCAGUUAAUAGAAAUUUGCCAAAUUCUGAUGUUUUUCUGUAGCAUUAUUUGAAUGAGCAUUGUUUAUUUGAGUGAACAUUCAGCUAAUUGUUACAGAAUCGUUGCCCCCAUUAAUCUUAGGCUGUAGAAUGUAGACAAGUAAAUAGGCAUCAUCAGUAUGAUGAGAGUGAAGCUACUUAAUACUGUGGAAUCAAAUAAAGGAGGAACCCCUUACUAAACCAAGAGGGAGGAAUAAAAUGGAAUGGGACUAGAGAAGCAAUUAGCUUUAAUAAGGGUAUUAUGGAAGACUUUCUAGAUGAGAAGCAGUAAGUACAGAUGUUUGGAGGCAAACACUAGAGAGAUUGUUGGGUAAAGAAGACAAUGCUGGAGGUCUACUUGUGAAGGCCUUGAAUGCUAUGUGCAGAAGUCAGCUUCUGAGAACCAGGAAGAAGAUAUUGAAAGAUUUUAAGUAGAAGAAUCAUAGGAUUGAAUUCAUUUUAGACAGAUCACUGUUACACAAAAAUUUGAGGCAAACAGAAGAGUUUGGAGUAAACAGUAGGCUGUGAGCCAGUAAUGACUUGGACUGAGUUGGUAGCAGGUAGGUGUGAAGAAAAUAAAGUGGUUAUUGGGAGAUUUGGUUAACUGAAAAUGACUGAGGGAGAUAGAUGUCAGGUGACUCCCAAGUGAGUUGGUGGAGCAGCUAGGAGGAUAGUAAUGUCUUCACUGAGAUUAGAAACAAAAUAAGAGAAUAUAUGUUAGGGAAGGAAGAAGUCUUUGUUUUGACCAUGUAAAAUUUGAAGUGCAUGUGAGCCAACCAGUCAUAUAUGUGUAGUGUGCAAUUAGAUAUUCAUUCAACACUGUUGGAAGAGCACCUACUCUGUGCCUGGUACUGUUCUACACACUGAAAUAGGUAAAGCAGCAGCAAAACAAAUGGUUCCUACUCCUGUUUUUUAGAGGGAAACAGCAUAUAAACAAGUUUUAAAAAUAAGAGGAGAGAGAAUAUCCCAUAAAUUCGUGAAGAAGGCUGGGUGCAGUGGCUCAUGCCAGUAAUCCCAGCAGUUUGGGAGGCCGAGGUGGGUGGAUCUCCUGAGUUCAGGAGUUAAAGAGCAGCCUGGCCAACAUGGCAAAACCCCGUCUCUACUGAAAAAAAUUAGCUGGGCAUGGUGGCACGCUCCUGUAAUUCCAGCUACUCCGGAGGCUGAGGCAGGAGAGUAGCUUGAACCCAGGACACGGAGGCUGCAGUGAGCCGAGAUUGCGCCACUGCACUCCAGCCUGGGCGACUGAACGAGACUCCGCCUCAAAAAAAAAGAGUUUGUGAGGAAAAUUAAAAGCUGAUUGGAUAAAGUGUUACUCUGGGGAAAAGAGAGCAAACUUUUGGUGGUUGGUUGAUCAGAGAUGGCCUCACUGAGAAGGUAUUAGAAAGGACAAGAACAGUGUGAGACCAAAGGGAAUAGCUGGGCAAAGGCCCUAAGGUGAAAAAUUUGUUGUGUUUAGGGAAUAGCAAGGUCAGUGUAUCCGAAAUCUAGUGACCAAAAGAAGGAAUGAUAGGAGGUGAAGUCUUCAGCCUCAAUAAGAAGGUGAAGUGCACUGGAAGCCAUUGAAGGAUUUAAGAAAUGGAGUAUCUGGCCGGGCGCGGUGGCUCACGCCUGUAAUCCCAGCACUUUGGGAGGCCGAGGUGGGAGGAUCAAGAGGUCAGGAGAUGGAGACCAUCCUGGCUAACAUGGUGAAACCCCGUCUCUAUUCAAAAUAAAAAAUUUUUUUAAAAAUUAGCCAGGCGUGGUGGCGGGCGCCUGUAGUCCCAGCUACUCGGGAGGCUGAGGCAGGAUAAUGGCGUGAACCCAGGAGGCAGGGCUUGCAGUGAGCCGAGAUCGUGCCACUGCACUCCAGCCUGGGCGACAGAGCGAGACUCCGUCUCAAAAAAAAAAAAAAAAAAAAAAGAAAUGGAGUAUCAUGGACUAGGAUAGUAGCAGUAGAGAUGAGGGAAGUGGAUGGAUCCAAAAAGCUGACCUAUCUUGCUUACCAAUUAAAUGAGGAAAGGGAGGAAUCAAUAGUGAUGCCUAGGUUUGGGGCAUGUUGUCUAGGUGGAAUUAAUUUUAAUUACACUUUUAACCCCUAGCAUAUCCAAAUAUUAUUUCACAUGUGAUCAACAUAAAAAAUUACUAAAUAUUAAAAAUAUUUUACAUUAUCUUUCUCAUAACUAAGCAUUUGAAAUCUGGUGUGUAUUUUAUACUUAUAGCAUAUCUCAGUACUUGAUUUCAUAAAAUUUCCAGCUGAAAAAAUAGAUUCACGUACCCAAGUCGUUCCAAGCAUACUUAAAAGUUUUACGGUAAUCGAAUCGUGUAUAUUUUUAAAUUUUAUUUUAAAUUAAAGUUAGGAUUAUGAAUUCAGUUCCUAAAUUAGCCUCAUUUCACUUCUGCAUUUCAAGUGGGACAAGUUAUUACCAUAUUGGACAAUGCAGUCUAGUGAAGUAGAGGAUAGUGGAAAGUCAGACUUAAAAAGUUGUUUAGAACCAGCUCUGGAAGGCCUUGGAUGUCAGAUUAAAGGACUGAGAUUUUACCCUUGAGUCAGGCAGAAUAAUGGAUGGUUUUUGAACUAAGGAGUGACACAAGGUUGUGCUUAUGACUAGAAGGAGGCCACUAGGUGGCCAGCUGGUGAGUCAGGACACCCUUCAGUUGCUUUGACUUCAGCCCUGUGGAUUCAAAGUCUGAUUUUUGUCAGCGCUCUAGAGCAGUCUCACCAAAAGUGUGGUCCACAAGGCAGUGCCAGUCUGUAAGCCCUUUGUUACACAUCCAUGUCAAGGCAUUUACAGAAAGUAAGAAUUUAGAAACUUAUAGCAGUUUAACAGACUAAUUUUAUUUCUGUGGGUCUAAUAAAAAUUUGAGGGAUUGUACUUUGCAUAUUCUUUAUUUCCCUUUUUUUGUUUGUUUUUUGUGUUCGAGAUGGGAGUCUUUUUCUGUCGCCAGGCUGGAGUGCAGUGGUGCAGUCUCGGCUCACUGCAACCUCUGCCUCCUGGGUUCAAGCGAUUCUCCUGCCUCAGCCUCCCAAAUAGCUGGGAUUACAGGUGUGCACCACCACAUCCAGCUAAUUUUUGUAUUUUCAGUAGAGACGGGGUUUCACCAUGUUGGCCAGGAUGGUCUUCAUUGCCUGACCUUGUGAUCCGCCUGCCUCAGCCUCCCAAAGUGCUGGGAUUACAGGCGUAAGCCACCGUGCCCGGCCCUUUUUUCCUUUUUAGUUUAUUUUUUUCUUUUUUGAGACAGAGUUUCGCUCUUAUUGCCCAGGCUGGAGUGCAAUGGUGCGAUCUUGGCUCACCGCAACCUCUGCCUCCUGAGUUGAAGCGAUACUCCUACCUCAGCCUCCCAAGUAGCUGGGAUUACAAGCAUGCACCACCAUACCCUGCUAAUUUUGUAUUUUUAGUAGAGACGGGUUUCUCCAUGUUGGUCAGGCUGGUCUCGAACUCCCAACCUCAGGUGAUCUACCUGCCUUGGCCUCCCAAAGCGCUGGGAUUACAGGUGUGAGCCACUGCACCCGGCCGUUUUUUUCUUUUUCUAAUAAUUUUUAUCAUAUUACAUAAAAGUACCUAUGGUCUCACAGAUGAAGGGAGUCAGAAGAACCAAACUCCCAGAAGACAUAUAAAUCUAAAUGCCUUUUUUACUUUAGAGUGAAAACUGUAAUAGCUAAAUUAUAAUGGACAUCUGCUCAUUUUCUCCCUCCAUGUAGACAUGGAAAGCUACACGGAAAUAACCGAGUUUAUAGUAGCUACCAUAUAUUAAACGUUUCCUGUAUGCCAGCCACUGUGCAAAGCAUAUUAUAUAUAUUGUCUCAUUUAAUCCUCACAACUCUGUAAAAUAAGUAUUGUUUGCCCCAUUUUUCCAAUGAAGAAACCGAGGCUAAAAUAGGUUGAAUAACUUACCUAAAUUCACCAUCCUCAAAGGUGUUAAAGACAGGAUUCCAGUACAGGUCUCUCAUUUCCUUCAUGAUUAGGAAUACUACUUUGAAAUGAGAGACCUGUACUGUAUCUGUUAAUUCCAAAUUCCCUGGCAUAAAGACUCAGUACAUUGUUUAAAGAGAAUGCAUGAAGUUAACUGCAUUACCUUUUGGAGGGUUCAUUUGUGAAUUUGGGGCCAAAGUAAGGGGAGUUACUGGUAUUCUAAUAGCAUCAAACAAAUGAAUUCAUUUCAUCUUUUGGGGAGGUGGAGGGAAUAAGGUCUCACCUUGUCGCCCAUGCAGGCUGGAAGGCCGUGAUGUGAUCUCAGCUCACUGCAGCCUCAACCUGGGCUCAAGCGAUCCUCCCACCUCAGCCUCCUGAGUAGCUGGGACUACAGGUGCACACCACCACGCCCAGCUCAUUUUUGUAUGUUUUGUAGAGACUGUGUUUUGCCACGUUGCCCAGGCUAUUCUCAAACUCCUGAGCUCAAGUGAUCCUCCCACCUCAGCCUCCCAAAGUGCUGGGAUUACAGAUGUAAUCCACCACACCCAGCCAAAUGCAUUCAUGUCUACAAUAGAAAUACAUCUCUUUGCUGCUAUCUUGAAUUUGUAGACUCCCACAAAUCAAUAAAAAAGAAGACAUCCAAUAAAAAAAUGGGUAGAGGCCAGGCAGUGGCUAACACCUGUAAUCCAAGCACUUUAGGAGGCCCAGGCAGGCAGAUCACUUGAGGUCAGAAGUUCAAGACCAGCCUGGCCAACAUGACAAAACCCUGUCUCUACUAAAAAUAUAAAAAUUAGCCAGACGUAGUGGCACGUACCUGUAAUCACAACUACUCGGGAGGCUGAGACAGGAGAAUUGCUUGAACCCAGGAGGCAGAAGUUGCAGUGAGCCAAGAUCGUGCCACUGCACUCCAGCCUGGGCGACAAAGCAAGACUCCAUCUCAAAAAAAAAAAAAAAAAAAAAGGUAGAAACUUAAACAGUCACCUCACAAAAAAGGGUAUCUAAAUAUUAGUUUCUUAAAAAAUAUAAAAGGGGCGUGUAGAUGGCCGAUAAACAUGUAAAAGAUACUCAACUAAUUUAAUCAUUAGAGAAAUGCAAAUUAAAACCUAAAUGAUAUUUUAAUCUCACAUCCAACAGAAUGGCUAAAAUGGAAAACCCAGAAAAUGCCAGAUGUUGGUCAAGAGUUGGAGUAACUGAAACUACACAGCUGCUGGAAAUGUAUAUUGGUAUAACCACUUUGGAAAAUGGGAAGUUCAACAAACAGGCAAACCAAUCUAGAUUUAGGGAUAUAUGUUUAGGUAGUAAAAGUAUAAAGAAAAGAAAUAGUUAGCUUUGCAGGGAGUAGUGCUUGGGAGGUAAUAGGUGCUUCUGGAGUGCUGUUGAUGUUCUGUUCCUAAGUAGGGUGCUAUGGCUUGAGUUUGGUUUGUCUGACCCUACCAAGUCUCAUGUUAAAAUUUCAUCCCCAGUGUUGGAGGUGAGGCCUGGUGGGAAGGGUUGUGGGAGUGGAUUUCUCAUGAGUGGCUUCGUAUUCUGUAAGGAGUGAGUUCAUUAAGAGACUGGCACCUCCUCUCUCCUUUCUCUCGCCAUGUGAUCUCUGCAUAUGUCAUCUCCUGUCUGCCUUCCACCGUGAGCAGCCUGAAGCCCUCACUGGAAGCAGAUACUGCUACCAUGCUUCUUGUACAGCCUGCAAAACCGUGAGCCAAAUAAGCCGAACAUUCUAAGACACUGGGAUUACAUGAGUGUUAGCACUCUAUGACUUAAUGAGAAGUAGGUUUUUUGGAGAAAAAUGUACUUUCAGUAUGUAUAUUAUAUAUUUCAUGGUUAUUUUUAAAACUCGUGAGCAAUGCUGGAUACACACUACCAACUAUUACUUCCCUGACUGAGCCAAUUUUUCUGUAAAUGCAUCACAAAUGUGAAAGAUAAGGUAGGCCUGAAUUCUGGGGAAUGACAAUGGUGAAGGAAAGGCGAGACAGGUGCAAAAGACACUGCAGAACUCAGGCUCAAAAUCUCAUCCUUAACUCCUUCCCUCAUCCCACCAUGUUGAAUCAGAUGUCAAUAGCAAUUUUAUAUGGCAUUUUUUAAGCUUGCAAAAAGUUAUAAACAGAAAAUGUUCAUUUUAUCACUCCAUCACAGACGAAAAACAUGAAAUUAAGCUAGGAAACAUGUUCAGGUGAUUAGAGUAGAUAGAACAUAGACUAAAAACCAGUGAACUUAUAAAAAAAAAUCCCAUGAUGUGGACAAAAAAAAAGAACUUGUGGCUCCUCACUCCAACUCCUGUGACUCUCUCACCUUACCCCCACUGCCUUCAAGUUUUUUGUAGAAAGAGAAAUUUUGUAUGGAUUGAGUUUAAGAUGAUGCCAGAAUAUCAAGGUAGAAUUAUUAAACACACAAAAGCUAAGGUUUGGUACUCUGAAAAAAGGUCAGAAUUGGUGAUAGAAAAUUAGAAGUUACCCAUCCAUAGAAGGGUAAUAAAGCCAUGAGAGUGAAGGAAACCAGUGAGAGAGAAUAUUGAGAAAAGUACUGAAGGACAGAGAAGGAGAAGCGAAGGAGGAAAGCAAAUCAGCAUUUAUUGAGCAUCUGUUAAACUGUAUGGCAGCUGCUCUACAUUUACUAUCUCAUUUAUUCCUUUCCAUUUCCAAGGUAGCCAAUUUUAGCCUCACUUGAUAGACUGGCUUUGUAGACUCAAAAAGCAGUAAAAAGAACCAGCAUUCAAAACCAGCUUGACUCCAGUUUAUUCUGUGUACUACACCAUUCCUGGAGAGGCUAAGUGUGUGUUACAGAAGACCAUGGGGAGAAUUUAGCUCAAGUAAAGAUAAGCCCUGGGAAAAGACCAUUGGAUUUUUGUGUUUUUUGACUAAGGGGUUCCCAUAACAUAGCAGCACCUGCACUCCUGUCUUAACGCGUCUGUGAAUGUGGGUAAUCCAGACAAAUGUAAACGCCUGUCAAUAAGGGGGGAAAAAGUCAAGAUAGUAAAUGUAAAAAUUAGUAUAAUGAAAACAAACCAGUUAUUAAAUUCUAUCUAGAUACUCUUGCCAACCAAGCACUUCGAAUCUCAAGGCUUGAAUGAAGAAUAGCUUUUUUUUUCUCUGAGACACGGUCUUACUCUGUUGCCCAAGCUGGCGUGCAGUGGCAAGAUCUCAGCUCACUGCAGCCUGGAUUUCCCAUGCUCAGGUGAUUCUCCCACCUCAGCCUCCUUAGCAGCUAGAACUACAAGCGCAGCCACCAUGCCUGGCUAAUUCUGUGUAUUUCUGGUAGAGAUGGGGUUUUGCCAUGUUGCCCAGGCUAGUCUUGAACUCCUGAGCUCAAGCGAGACACCCACCUUGACCUCCCAAAGUGUUGGGAUUACAGACAUUAGCCACCACGCCUGGCCUGUAAACAGGAAUAACUUUCUUGCUGUGUGAUUCAAUGUUAUUUACUGCUUUGUUCAUGUACUGCCUAUGUUGAUUAUCACCAGUGGUAUGGAUCCUGCACAUUGGGAAACACUGCAGUGUUAUUUAAUUUUGUUCACUGUGUUUACAGUGCAGUUUUAGUCACCUGAAAUUCUAAGAGAAAAGAUCAAUAUGGUUUUGCCAAUCAAAGGUCAUUAAUACUUGGAAUGAAAGAUAACUUAUCCUGGUGAUGAACACAUGCCUUUUGAAAAGCAUCAGUAUCUCCUUAAAAUGUAUAAACUACUGUAAUCAAUGAGGAAGACUUUUUCUUAUCAGAUUUAUUAAACUCAUUUACCAUACAAAUAGCAUUAUAACAUUAAAGAAAAUUUUUUAAAAAUUCUGUACCAUAAAACAAUUACUGGUUCCUUCCUACCUGUUUUUAGGUUUGCAGAUGAAUAAUGUGUGGAUUUUUGGCAGACACACUGCUGAAAAUUUUUCACUUUGUUGGGUGAGCAUCUCACCCUAUCUCCAUUUGUCUCCCUGCUCGUGAGUUCUAGAGAAGACCACCAGUAAGCAAGUGAAAUUCUUUGGCCAAGUCACUGAUAUCAGAAUUCCCCAGAGGCACCAAGAACUUUGAUUUCCAGAAAUUGUUUAGGCACAGCCACUCAUUCAACCUUAUAUUUUGUAUCUCAGAGUUAAGGUUGCAUUUGGGCUACCUAGCCUGUAGACUCUAUUUUAAGACAAGCAGGCAUUUAAUAGUUGUUGGUUGGUUGAUUAGAGCUUCUAGCCAAUUUUUAAAAAUUAUUUGAAUAGAUAAGGCAUUCACUGGUUCAAAAAAAAUUUUUUAAUCAUCACUUCCACCCAUCCAGUUAUCACUACUGAAGUAACCUCUACUUUUUGUUUCUUGCAUAUUCUUUCUUUCUUUUUUUUUUUUUUUUUUUUUUUUGAGACAUAGUCUCGAUCUGUCGCCCAGGCUGGGGUGCAGUGGCGUGAUAUUGGGUCACUGCAACCUCCGUCUCCCGAGUUCAAGCAAUUCUCCUGCCUCAGCCUCCCAUGUAGCUGGGACUACAGGCGCGUGCUACCACGCCCGGCUAAUUUUUAUAUUUUUAGUAGAGACGGGGUUUCACCAUGUUGGCCAGGCUGGUCUUGAACUCCUGACCUCAGGUGAUCGCUUGCCUCGGCCUCCCAAAGUGGAGUUACAGGCAUGAAUCACAGUGCCCAGCCUCUUGUAUAUUUUUCCACAUACACAUUUUUUCAUACAUACAUAUGUGAGAAUAAAUGUUCUUAUUCCCCCUCCCCCAUUUUUAUGUAGGAGAAAAUACCGUACAAACCCUUCUGCACAUUGGACUUGAGAUGGCUUUUCCAUCUCAGUGCAAAAAGGCGACAUUUUUUCUUAACCACUGCACAUUAUUUGGUUAUCACCCAGUUUAGGGACAUUGAGUUUCUUUUGUACUCUAGUGCUUGAAUGAUUAUCCUUGGAUGUACAUCUUUCCUUGUAUAUUUAAAUAUGUCUCAUCUCAGUUUCCACAGGUGGAAUUGCUCUGCAAAAAGGCAUAUAUGUAUUUUUAAUUUGCCCUCUAUGUACUAAAUGUUUUCACCCCAGCAUUGCUGAUGGAUUAGAGUGCUGCCAAGUUUUUGGAUUUUUACCUACCAGCUUUUGAAGGGCAGAUUAUUUCAAGUCUUAAUUAAUAUUUUCAGGAACAGUAACAAUAUCAUUUGGUUAAAUUGAGAGAAAUGGGGUUCAGUUGACAGAAUUUGUUCAGGAUAUAGAAUUUUUCUGCUGCUGCUCCUGCAGCUACACACCUACAACUAGUAAAAACAUGGUUGCUUAGGUUGUCAAAUGACCAGCAAACCUGGAGAGGAACCUGGAAUGACUAUAAACAGCUCCACCCACACUUUUUUUGGGCAAAUGUGCAAGCUUAGUAGAAUCUAAAAGGAUACUUCAGCCUUUGUUUGAGUUGCAGAAAAUUAACAUGGUAAGGAGGAAAAAAUCACUAAUUUUUUUAAAAAGUUCCCUGAUACAGGAACUGAAAAUGAUUUUUGACCAACCUGGGCAAUAGAGCAAAAUCCCAUCUCUACAAAAAAAUACAAAAAUUAGUCGGGCAUGGUGGUGCUGCCUGUAGUGACGGCUACUCAUCCUGAGGUGGGAAGAUUGCUUGAGGCCAGGAGGUUGAGGCUGCAGUGAGCCAGGAUCACACCACUGCACCAGCCUGGGCUACAGAGUAAGACUCAAGAAAAAAAAAAGAUGUUUAAUUAAUCUUGCUUCAGUGCUGAGGUGGUACAGGGAGGGAGAAAGGGAUAUUGGGCUAUGAAUUCCAUCUAAACUGGGGAUUUUUAUCAGGGUGUGAAGAAAGAUUUUCAGGAAUAAUUAUCUGAGUUACUUGGAGUAAAAGUAGCAGGAGGAGGAAAAGAGAUAUGGCCUGUGGGUCUCUGACUUGCCAAACUUCUUAUUCAUUUUACAAAUCAUGAUUUCUAGAGCAUCUUAAUCUUUGAGGCCCAGCUGCUUGGAAGUUGCAUAAUCUCUAUACUUCAGUUCCCCCCUAUAAAAUGGGGAAUAUGAUAGAAUCUACCUUGUAUUUGAGAGGACUAAAUAAAUAUAAAGUGCUUAGAAAAGUAAGGACUCAACUACUAGUAAUAAUUAUUUUGACAUGUUUAAGUAAUCAGUACUAUCUGGAAAACUGUGCUAAUAGUGCCUGAUCUACACAAAUUUAAGUGACUAUACCCCUUUUUUGAGUCAGAGUCUCACUACGUUACCCAGGCUGGAGUACAGUGGUACGAUCUCUGCUCAGUGCAGCCUCCGCCUCCUGGGUUCAAGAGAUUCUCCAGCCUCAGCCUCCCAAGUAGCUGGGAUUACAGGCGCCUACCACCACACCUGGCUAAUUUUUGUAUUUUUAGUAGAGAUGGGGUUUUACCAUGUUGGCCAGGCUGGCCUCAAACUCUGGACUUCAAGUGAUCACCUGCCUCAGCCUUCUAAGGUGCUAGGAUUAUAGGCUUGAGCCACUGCAGCCACCACUCUGUAUAUCUCUUUUGAAAGUCAUAAGCAAUAUCUUUGGAAAAAACACUUAAGGUUAUUUAUUUAGAGGUAGUGUCUCUCUGUACCCCAGCUGGAGUACAGUGGCACAGUAUCACAGCUUGCUGCAGCAUCAAAUUCCUAGGCUCAAGCCAUCCUUCCACCGGACAUGUUGGCGUGCACCUCCUGAGUAGCUGGGACUACAGUUGUGCUCUACCACACCGGGCUAAUUUUUGUAUUUUUUAGUAGAGACAGGGUUUUGCCAUGUUAGACAGGCUGGUCUGGAACACCUGACCUCCGGUGAUCUGCCCACCUCAGUCUCCCAAAGGGCUGGGAUUAAAGGCAUGAGCCACCGCACUCAGCCACUUAAGGCUUUUAAAAAAUCAAUUAAUUUCUAAAUGGUUUUGGACUUUUGACUCCUUAUAAGUGUUAAGAUAUUUUGGUAUCACUUUUUUCCUUCCAAAAAAAAAAAAAAAACCAACUAGGUGAUAUCUAUUCCUCAGUCAAAGUUAAUUAAAACUAUUUUGGAUCCCAGCACUUUGGGAAGCCAAAGGCAGGCAGAUCACCUGAGGUCAGGAGUUCAAGACCAGCCUUGCCAACAUGGUGAAACCCUGUCUCUACUAAAAAUACAAAAAUUAGCAGAGCAUGGUGGCAGGCGCCUGUAAUCCCAGCUACUCAGGAGGCUGAGGCAGGAGAAUUGCUUGAACCCGGGAGGCGGAGUUUGCAGUGAGCCAAGAUAGUGCCAUCGCACUCCAGCCUGGACAACAGAGCGAGACUCCAUCUAAAAAAAAAAAAAAAAAAAAAAAAAACUCAGUUUUUGGUUUUGAAAAUGUCAUGAUACCUGUUGAGAUAACUGCUGAAUAGAUGGGUAAUACACAGUCUAGGGCAUGGUAUCAAAAGAACUUGUCACUGUACAUAUCGGAAAUGGUAAAAAUAUGUUUUGCCGUUUUCACGAAUUCAUUCAUUUUUCAUGUUUCAUGAAUUCAUUCUUUUUAAAAAAAAAAAAUCCUGCUAAUUCUCUGUUUCUCUUGCUUUUCUCCUUUAUGACUAAGUUUUCCUCAUUAUGGGUUACCCCACAUUACUGCUUACGAAGACAUCUCUUUAGUCAGAAAACAGUAGCUUGGUUCAGUUCUAGCUUCAUUGUUAAGCUCAUAGGUAAAUCUGGCAAAUGGCUAGAAACAGUCACAUGUUUGCUUGUCCUUAAUGCUCUCACCUUUUCCCAGCUAUUUGGAUGUAUAUACUUUUGCUUACUUUGUAGUGUACCAACUUAAUAUAUGUUAUAGACUAAAUGUUUAUGUCCUCCCAAACUUCAUAUUUUGGAAGCCAGACAUGGUAACUCACACCUGUAAACCUAACACUUUGGGAGGCCUAGGUGGGAGGAUUGCUUGAGUCCGGGAGUUCAGAACCAGCCUGGACAACAUAGUGAGACCCCGUCUCUACAAAAAAAAAAAAAAUUUUUAAUUAGCCAGGUGUGGUGGCAUACACCUGUAGUCCCAGCUACUCAGGAGGCUUGCCUGAGCCCAGAAGUUUGAGACUGCAGUGAGCCAUGAUAUUGCCAGCCUGGGUGACAGAGCAAGACCUUGUCUCAAGAAAAAAAAAAAAAAUUGCCAAUUGCGAUGGCUCACGCCUGUAAUCCCAGCACUAGGAGGCCGAGGUGGGUGAAUCACCUGAGGUCAGGAGUUUUGAGACCAGCCUGGCCAACGUGGCAAAACCCCGUCUCUACUAAAAAUGCAAAAAUUACCGGGACGUGUUGGUGAGCACCUGUAAUCCCUGCUACUCGGGAGGCUGAGGCAAGAGAAUCUCUUGAACCCAGGGGGUGGAGGUUGCACUGAGCCGAGAUCAUGCCAUUGUACUUCACCUGGGCAACAAGAGGGAAACUGUCUCCAAAAAAAAAAAAUUUGGAGGGCUGGGCACGGUGGCUCACACCUGUAAUCCCAGCACUUUGGGAGGCCAAGGCGGUGGAUCACAAAGUCAGGAGUUCAAGACCAGCCUGGCCAACAUAGUGAAACCCUGUCUCUACUAAAAAUACAAAAAUUAGCCAGGCAUGGUGGCACACGCCUGUAGUCCCAGCUACUGGGGAGGCUGAGGCAGGAGAAUUGCUUUGAACCCGGGAGGCAGAGGUUGUGAGCUGAGAUCGCGUCAGUACACUCCAGCCUGGGCAACAAUGCGAGAUUGCAUCUCAAAAAAAUAAAUAAAUAUUUGGAGUCCCAUAAUAAAUAAAUAUUUGGAGUCCAAUGUGAUAGUAUCUGGAGAUGGGGCCUUUGGAGGUAAUAUGGGUUAGAUAGGUCAUGACGGUAGGGCCCUCAUUAUGGGAUUAGUGGCGUUAUAAGAAGAAGAGAGAAAUCUUCCUCCUCAAGAGCAGAGGAAAAGCCAUAUAAGAAUACAGUGAGACGGCCACUUCCAAACCAGAAAGGGAGCCCCCACCAGGAACCAAAUUGGCUGGCACCUUGAUCUUGGACUUCCCAUGCUCCAGAACUGUGAGAAAUAAAUUUCUAUUAUUUAAGCCCAUGGUAGUUUUAUGGCAUCCUAAGCUAAGACAGCGCGUCUCUAGUUUCCCACAGAUUCAUAAAGGUCCAUACAAAAAUGUUAUAACUGUUAAUAGUGUCCUGUCCUUGAAUUUAACAGCAACCAACAUAUUGUUUGCAUAGUUCUUGCACCAUUUGGAAACAGUGACCUUUAGGUGUUGCAGGUAACUAUUGGGAAAUCCUUCAAUUUGUUUAACAUUUCCAUAUUUUGAUUUGCAUCUUGGGAGUUGCUUGGAAUUUGGGAUCCUCUUCUGUCUCUUGAGUUGAAAUCAGAGGCUGCUUGCCGGGCAAGGUGGCUCACGCCUGUAAUCCCAGCACUUUGGGAGGCCCAGGCAGACAGAUCACCAGAUGUCGGGAGUUAGAAACCAGCCUGGCCAACAUGGCAAAACCCCGUCUCUACUAAAAAUACAAAAAUUAGUCGGGCGUGCUGGUGCAUGCCUGUAAUCCUAGCUGCUUGGGUGCUGAGUUAGGAGAAUUGCUUGAAUCCGGGAGGUGGAGGUUGCAGUGAGCCAAGAUCGUGUCACUGCACUCCAGCCGGGGCAACAGAGCAAGACUCUGCCUCAAAAAAAAGAAAAAAGAAAUCAGAGGCUGGGCAUAGUGGCUCAUGCCUAUAAGCCCAGCACUUUGGGAGGCCAAGGCAGGUGGAUCACUUGAGGCCAGGAGUUCAAGACCAGCCUGGGCAACAUGGCAAAAGCCUAUCUCUACUAGAGAUACAAAAGAUUAGCUGGACGUGAUGGUGUGUGCCUGUAAUCCCAGCUACUCAAGAGGCUGAGGCACAAGAGAAUUGCUUGAACACAGGAGGUGGAGGUUGCAGUGAGCCAAGAUCACGCCACUGCACUCCAACCUGGGGCAACAGAGUGAGACUCUGUCUCAAAAAAAAAAAAAAGAAAUCAGAGAUAAUAUAAAUGCAGGUGUAAACUCAUACACUUAAUGGGCUAUAAGUUUUGGAACUGGCUGUGAUAAUAUAACAAAAGUAAUAAUGGGCUGUAAGUGGUAUUAAAUGUGGGAUUAACUGGAUAUUUAAUGAUACCAAGGAAUCAUUAAUUUUGUUUGGCUGUGAUGUUUUAUUAUUAGAAUGAUGUUAUGAUUAAAUUUUAUUUUUGUCUGGAUACAGUGGCUCACACCUGUAAUCCCAGUGCUUUGGGAGGCCGAGGCAGAUGGAUCACUUGAGGCCAGGAGUUCCAGACCAGCCUGGCCAACACGGCGAAACCCCAUCUCUACUAAAAAUACAAAAAAUUAGCCAGGCCUGGUGGUGCACGCUUGUAAUCCCAGGUACUUGGGAGGCUAAGGCAGGAGGAUCACUUGAACCCAGGGGAGGCUGCAGUGAGCUGAGAUCGUGCCACUGCACUCCAGCUUGGGCAACAGAGCAAGACUCCAUCUUAAAAAGAAGAAAGAAAGAACUUCUAUUUUUUAAAUGUUUUUUCCUUUCAUUGAACUCCAUUUAUAGCCUUUCCAUUCAGAGCAUAAAGAUUAAAUUUUAAAACAAGGCUUGGCACCCUGGCUUAUGCCUGUAAUCCCAGCACUUUGUGAGGCCAAGGUGGGCGGAUCACCUGAGCUCAGAAGUUUGAGUCCAGCCUGGCUAACAUGGUGAAACCCCAUCUCUAAAAGAGUACACAGUCCUAGAGCAGUGGUGUGCGCCUGUAGUCCUAGCUACCUGGGAGGCUGAACCAGGAGAAUUGCUUGAGCCUGGGAGGCAGAGGUUGCAGUGAGCCAAGAUCGCACCAUUACACUCCAGCCUGGGUGACAGAGAGAGACCCUGUGCCCCUCAAAAAAAUGUUUUUUUUAAACAAGAAUCUCUCAGGCAUACUGAAAUGUUGAAGAGGAAAUUAUAUUAAUAUCUGGGACUUGUUUCCAAAUUUGGAAUUGGGGCAGGGUGUAAAUUGUUGGCAAUAUCAAAGAAACGAGGAGUUGGAAUGAUAAUUGUAGAAGCUGCAUGAUAGAUACACAUUCUUUAUACUUCUGUAUAUGUUGAAAUUUUUUAUCAAAUUAUAAUUGUGUAUAAUGACUAAUUAUGCUUUCAUUGUCUAUUCUGUGUGGUUAUGUUACUUGCUGAAAUUAAUACAUAAAGAGUCUUCAACUUAAAUGACUUAUCAAGCAUAAAUAUUAAAAUACUGGAUGUUACUACACAUUUGACUCCACUUAUGCAUUUAUUCAUCAACUAUUAAAUGCUUUCAUGUAGAUUUCUCAUUUAAUCUCUGCAAGGUAGGUGUUACCCCUGGUUUUACAAAUGAGAAAAUGUAGAUUCAAGAUAAGUAAUAUGCAGGUCAAGAAUAGCAAAAUCGGUCGGGUGCGGUACCUCACGCCUGUAAUCCCAACACUUUGAGAGGCCGAAGUGGG
rnacentral:lncRNA from 1 species